AAAUAUUUAUUAAGCAACUGCAGAGAACCGAGGUGAACUUGGCACUGAGAGAUGCUUGAAAGGCAGAUAAGAUCCCUGUCUUCAAGGGGCCUACAAGGCAGAGGGGAGACAAAAGGAAAGAAGCCCAAUUUACCUUAGAUCUGCGAAGUUAUCCAGAAGCGAGAGGGUGAAGAGCUUGGCUGGUUUGAACCAGAAAGAAACCUGCUCAAGGACUGUUCUCUUAUCCAGAGCAAGGCCCUGGUCUCCAUGGCUUAUUCAAAGUGAUACACGGACUGCUGUCCAGAGGCGUCUCAGCAGCCUGAGGAUCCAUGAGCAAACCAGAGAAGAGCUCCCCAGAGCCUUCCACCCACCUCCACGCUCACCCAGGGCUCUACUAUUCAAAACAGCUGCAAAUGUGCGCCCUGCUCUCCCCAACAAGAAAACAGAACAGAACAUGGCUGUCUCUGCCAAAGGACACUCUCAAUUCUCCACCUCAAAGUUUUCAUCCACUUCCUCCUCUGGAAAUGGGCCGGCUCCAACUGGCGGCGAGUCCAAACACCUGAAUGAAGACAGGAGCACGUCUGUGUGGGUCAGGGGCACAGAGGGCGUGAUGCCAACCAGGCCUAGAAGAGGGACCUCGGGGGCGCCUGGGUGGCUCAGUGGGUUAAAGCCUCUGCCUUCGGCUCAGGUCAUGAUCCCAGGGUU